rnacentral:rRNA from 1 species
UACGUAGGGGGCAAGCGUUGUCCGGAAUCAUUGGGCGUAAAGAGCGUGUAGGCGGCUCGGUAAGUCCGCUCUGAAAGCCCGGGGCUCAACCCCGGGAGGCGGGCGGAUACUGUCGGGCUAGAGUCCGGAAGAGGCGAGUGGAAUUCCUGGUGUAGCGGUGAAAUGCGCAGAUAUCAGGAGGAACACCAAUGGCGAAAGCAGCUCGCUGGGACGGUACUGACGCUGAGACGCGAAAGCGUGGGGAGCAAACAGG